AUUGAACGCUGGCGGCAUGCCUUACACAUGCAAGUCGAACGGCAGCAUGGAAGAGCUUGCUCUUCUGAUGGCGAGUGGCGAACGGGUGAGUAAAGCAUCGGAACGUACCGUGUAGUGGGGGAUAACGUAGCGAAAGUUACGCUAAUACUGCAUACGCACUGAGGUGGAAAGCAGGGGAUCGCAAGACCUUGCGCUAUACGAGCGGCCGAUGUCAGAUUAGCUAGUUGGUAGGGUAAAGGCCUACCAAGGCGACGAUCUGUAGCGGGUCUGAGAGGAUGAUCCGCCACACUGGGACUGAGACACGGCCCAGACUCCUACGGGAGGCAGCAGUGGGGAAUUUUGGUCAAUGGGCGAAAGCCUGAUCCAGCCAUGCCGCGUGAGUGAAGAAGGCCUUCGGGUUGUAAAGCUCUUUCGGCUGGGAAGAAAUCGCACAGGCUAAUACUCUGUGUGGAUGACGGUACCGGAAGAAGAAGCACCGGCUAACUACGUGCCAGCCGCCGCCGUAA
rnacentral:rRNA from 1 species